rnacentral:rRNA from 1 species
CCGCGUGUGUGAUGAAGGUCUUCGGAUUGUAAAGCACUUUCGACCGGGACGAACACCCUGAGGCUAACAUCCUCAGGUCUGACGGUACCGGGAGAAGAAGCACCGGCUAACUCUGUGCCAGCAGCCGCGGUAAUACAGAGGGUGCAAGCGUUGUUCGGAAUUAUUGGGCGUAAAGCGCGUGUAGGCGGCUUUGCAAGUCGGGUGUGAAAGCCCUCAGCUUAACUGAGGAAGUGCGCCCGAAACUGCUUAGCUUGAGUGCCGGAGAGGAUGGCGGAAUUCCCCAAGUAGAGGUGAAAUUCGUAGAUAUGGGGAGGAACACCGGUGGCGAAGGCGGCCAUCUGGACGGUAACUGACGCUGAGACGCGAAAGCGUGGGUAGCAAACAGGAUUAGAUACCCUGGUAGUCCACGCCGUAAACGAUGAGAACUAGGUGUCGUGGGUGUUGACCCCCGCGGUGCCGUAGCUAACGCAUUAAGUUCUCCGCCUGGGAAGUACGGUCGCAAGACUAAAACUCAAAGGAAUUGACGGGGGCCCGCACAAGCGGUGGAGCAUGUGGUUUAAUUCGACGCAACGCGCAGAACCUUACCUAGUCUUGACAUCCUCGGAACCUUCCAGAGAUGGAGGGGUGCCCGCAAGGGAACCGAGAGACAGGUGCUGCAUGGCUGUCGUCAGCUCGUGUCGUGAGAUGUUGGGUUAAGUCCCGCAACGAGCGCAACCCUCGCCUUUAGUUGCCACGCAAGUGGAUCUCUAGAGGGACUGCCGGUGUUAAACCGGAGGAAGGUGGGGAUGACGUCAAGUCCUCAUGGCCUUUAUGACCAGGGCUACACACGUGCUACAAUGGCUGCUACAAAGCGCUGCUAACUCGCGAGAGGGAGCCAAUCGCAUAAAAGCAGUCUCAGUUCGGAUUGGAGUCUGCAACUCGACUCCAUGAAGUCGGAAUCGCUAGUAAUCGAAGAUCAGCACGCUUCGGUGAAUACGUUCCCGGGCCUUGUACACACCGCCCGUCACACCAUGGGAGUCAAUUGCUCCAGAAGUCGCCGUGCCAACCGCAAGGAGGCAGGCGCCCAAGGAGUGAUUGGUAACUGGGGUGAAGUCGUAACAAGGUAACC